AUGUGGAAACAUAAAGGUUAAUUUAUUAUUUGUGCUGUUGCAGUUUAGCUUGUGCUGCAGGAUACAAUUUUGCCCCAUAUUAGCCAAUAUAGACGAUUCAUAUCAUUGUUUGUAUAUGAUGCCUAUAUGUUUUUAAUCACCCUUUUUUCUAAAAGGAAUUUAAGUGGUUCAGGUAUAUUAUGAAACUGGAAGUGCCUCUUCAUUAAUCUACAGGAAUCAGCAGUGUUGUGUUUUAAUUGGAUUCUGAUUGUUGCCCAUCCUACUGUACAAGUUCAGGCUUGCUUCAUGAUUUUCUUAUAUUUGGUUGAAGAAUUGUUGGGGGAUUAUGAAAUUUUAGUUUUUUUUAAAUAUAUUAAGGUCCAUUUGAAAAUACCACAGAAGCAUUAUCUUGCGGACCAGAGAUGCAUGAUUUAGAGGCUGGAAUUCAGAUAGAUUGAUUUCUUGUGAAGGGGGUUUGUCUAUCGCAUGGAUAUGAUGAAAAUAUUAUUGUGCAGGAAGCAAAGACUUCUGAUGAUGUUCAUGCCUAAUCAUGGUUCUUGAUUCUUGAUGGUUGCUUUAGGUUCCAUCGUGAAAGGGAUGCCCUUGUUAUCCAAUUCAAACAAAAGAGAUGGUGUAGAUGCAGGGAAUCAGAUUGUUUCUUUUCGAGUGGAUUCCUUUUCCUUUUGUAUUAUUCUUUAUCAGAUAUUGUGUUUUGAAUAAUUGGUUUGAUUCUGAGAAGAUAUAUGCGAUCAGAGAGAUGAUUCAUUUAACCUCCUGUUUUUUAUGAAUUUUGCAGUUAUAUUCAUUGAAGUGUCAAAUUGCACUGAUUCUUUUACCUGAUUAGAGCUAUCACAAGCUGGUUUGAUAGAAUGAUAAAUUCGAUUUCCUUGGCUUGCUGUCACUUCAUAGGUUAAGCAUUGUGGGAACAUGAUAUUUCUACUCUUCCUGCUGCUUAAUUGGUUGUUACUUGAGCUUACAUUGUUGACUGGUUCAUCUUGGUUUACCAGAAUACCGAGUCAUUACUUGUUGGAGAUGCAGACGCUGGAGAAUGGAUUUCGGAUGUGGGAUUUGUUCACCAAUAUAAUAUAUAUUUCGAUUAUGGUGUACUUUCAUCAUGUUGAUCAAUCAGGGUUAUUGACAAAUUAACUUAGUGCAUUUGCUUUUUAUGAUUCAGAGGAUGCUGCAAAUAGAAGCAAAAGAUGUCCUACUCUUUUUUGUCCCAUGUGUUGUUGAGUGUGGCCAUUACUUCUGUUGUUACUGUAGUAUUUGGAAGGAUGUGGUGGGCAUCAUCUUCAAAAGGUUGGGUCAUUCGAUGCCUUCCUAGAUACAAGGUAUUUGAGGUUUUCAUUAUUGGUCAGGACUACUUUUUCCCCUUGUAUAUUGAUUUUAUAGGACUCAUCCACCUUUCAAGUCCUUUCACAGUUCUUCUUCAUUCUUGGGUUGUAUUAUUGGCUCAUCUUUCUGAUCCAUUAGUGCUCACAAUCGUGGUUUAUGCGUUAUUUGCGGUUCUCUGGUGUAUUUGUUCUCUUGCAUUUCUUUUCCAUUCUCCCUCCAAGCAAGUUUAGGUUUGUCUGUUAUAAUUCUGAUACACUGCAUCUGCUAUUAUACUUUCGGUGGUGAUCCCUUUUACAUCGAGUGCUUAUCUAGAUCUGGGAUAAUCUUGAUUUCUUGGUUAAUCUCAUGCAAUAUAUCAUCUUGUGAUUGAUGUUGGCAGUUGUUUCAUGAUUUCCUGUUGCAUCAGUGGCCUGGCGAUUCUCUCAUUUUCGACCAACACCUUGAGUUCUUAAUACAAUCUGGCUCCAUUGGAGAGUAUAUUUGUUUUUUCAUGAAGGGUUUUCUCGCUUUGAUUAUUGAAUUGAUUGUGCUAAUUUUUGGCCUUUAUGCUUUUAGUUCAGGUCUUUCUUAGUUUGUUAUUUGUGAUGUUGCAGAAGAGCUUACGCAACUUGGGAAAAUCUUGCUGAAGAGGUAUCUUCAUCUUAUAAUUGAAGGAAGCGCCGAGGAAAUGGAAUGCAAUGAUAUGUUUUUUUUUUUUACUGAAUAGAGUUUCUAAUCUUGAUAGCGGGGUUCAUUAUGCUUGCCUUUUCGUGCGGUAGCUGCUCAUGUGGAAACAUAAAGGUUAAUUUAUUAUUUGUGCUGUUGCAGUUUAGCUUGUGCUGCAGGAUACAAUUUUGCCCCAUAUUAGCCAAUAUAGAAGGAAUCGUCCUUAUUUAUAUCAUUGUUUGUAUUUGAUGCCUAUAUGUUUUUAAUCACCCUUUUUUCUCAAUAGGGUUUUCUUUUGGGCUCAUAUUUUAGCAAUCCUUUUAUUUGCUUCACCAGAACCUUGAUUUGAUCUGUGAAGGGCGAUACUAGAGGAAUUAGUGUUAAGAAAGGAUUUUUCAUGAUGAGGAUUCCUCACUUCCCCUG
rnacentral:lncRNA from 1 species